rnacentral:lncRNA from 1 species
CAUGCUAAUUAUAAAUAACGUGGAGUCUCUAGUGUUUUGGCAUUCAGAAGUCUAUCUCUUCUUUCUUACAUUCAUAUCUAGAUUGUCCAAUUUCUUUCUUUCUUUCCUUGUUAGGACAAGUCCAAAUAUAGCAAGGGCAAGUCUGAUUUAGGUUAAAGAUUUAGGAAGAUAGUAAAGGAAGAUAAAGAGAUAGCAAAGAUAGAGAAAAUUAAGGCA